rnacentral:rRNA from 1 species
UACAGAGGUGGCAAGCGUUGUUCGGAAUUACUGGGCGUAAAGGGCGCGUAGGCGGCCUUCUAAGUCAGACGUGAAAUCCCCCGGCUUAACCUGGGAACUGCGUCUGAUACUGGGAGGCUUGAGAUUGGGAGAGGGAUGCGGAAUUCCAGGUGUAGCGGUGAAAUGCGUAGAUAUCUGGAGGAACACCGGUGGCGAAGGCGGCAUCCUGGACCAACACUGACGCUGAGGAGCGAAAGCCAGGGGAGCAAACGGG